AGGCUCUGGUCAUGUGCAUAUAUUGCGCUAUAUAUGCUAAUAUUGCACUUGACCAUGGCCUCG
rnacentral:pre_miRNA from 1 species